rnacentral:rRNA from 1 species
GCAAGUCGAGCGAGAAAGUUCUUCGGAACGCGUAGAGCGGCGGACGGGUGAGUAAUGCAUAGGAAUCUGCCUAGUAGUGGUGGACAACCUGGUGAAAACCAGGCUAAUACCGCAUACGACCUACGGCGGAAAGGGGGCUUCGGCUCUCGCUAUUAGAUGGGCCUAUGUCAGAUUAGCUAGUUGGUGGGGUAAUGGCCCACCAAGGCGACGAUCUGUAGCUGGUUUGAGAGGAUGAUC